rnacentral:misc_RNA from 1 species
GCAUCCUCUUUGACGAACCCACCCCGCUGGUACAAGCCAAUGCGAGACGGGCAGUCAUUCUAAGAGAAGCGAGAACGCUAAACAAGGGCAGAACCAGGAUCUCAAGAGACCCCAUGCCCACAUCAGGUUCCRUAUCCAGGAUACCAAGCAUAUGCUCAAUGGGCCACAGCAUCAACGCAAGCAUCAACGAUGUGGUUCAAAGAGACGGCUUCAAGGUUCAUCUGAUGCCAUGUUGAAUGACACCAGACGAAAGCAACUACGAUCAGUCAAUACAAUACCAUCACUUAGGUAUGCAGCACAGGAAACCCACGAUCCACUUAGGCGAUACAAGCCUAAACAGACAACCGAAGAGGUAAGCCAGGUGGAAGUUGUUGCGCAAGCAAA